AGGAUGAACGCUGGCGGCGUGCCUAAUACAUGCAAGUCGAACGCACAGCGAAAGGUGCUUGCACCUUUCAAGUGAGUGGCGAACGGGUGAGUAACACGUGGAUAACCUACCUCAAGGUUGGGGAUAACAUUUGGAAACAGAUGCUAAUACCGAAUAAAACUUCGUAUCGCAUGAUACAAGGUUAAAAGGCGCUACGGCGUCACCUAGAGAUGGAUCCGCGGUGCA
rnacentral:rRNA from 1 species